rnacentral:lncRNA from 1 species
CUCUCCUCUCCAUAUGUGUUUUCAUUAGUUUGCCUCAUUGAUAGCUAAUACUUUUGUGAGGAGUAAGGAGGGGAAGAUCUUGUCUACUAUUACAACUAUAAUUCAUAUCAACAAUGGCUUCUGCAGGUAUGAAUUUGGUUUAUUAAUUUAUUAUUUGGUGAUUAUUGAUUCUUAGCAUGAUUGAAAAUUUAAUAUUAACAAUUGGUAUCAGAGCUUUCAUGCUAAGAUCAGAAUCCCUGAAUAAAAUAAUAUUAUGUCUCGUUUUUUUUUUUUUUUUUUUUUUGCUUUCCAAAUUUUUGUUUGAUGCACCCGUAGAGGCAAUAGAGAUUCACCAUCUCUUCAGUUGCUCAAUAACAACCCUUUUGAACCUUUUUAAUUGUUGACAACACUGUCAAGAAUGAGAGAACAUAUUGAUCUCCCGAAUAUGUCGCAAAGCUACGUGAUCUGAAUGUCAAGAAAAUUCUCAUAAACCAUUCAGUAGACUAUACAUAAUAGCAGAACUAUCAACUUGGGCGAUAAAGAAGAGUUUUCACCAAUUCCUUUUUCAUUUUUUUUUACGCUCGUUGUUUCUUGAUUAUACAUUCAAAAACCGAAACCCAAUCCCUAUGUAGAGUGAUAAUUAAUUUGAGGGGUUUCUUUAAUUUCUUGGGGUCUAGAUGUUUGGUAAAAAAAAAUUACCCAGGUUAAGCCUUGUUUUAGUUCUGGGGAUUUUUCCAUCAUCUUAAUUUUGAAUUUGCAGAAAGUUGUAGAAUGCUUUAAUUGUCUAUAUAGGUUGAAUUAAAAAAAAAAAUCUAGUCAUUGAUGUGCAACUCAAGAGCCAUGUGGUAUUAUAAAUUGAAGCUACAUAAAUGAGGCAGUUUUGAGGAUCAAUAAUUAUACAUACGGAAUGCUGUGAUGGAAUUUGGCGUGGGGGCCUCCAUUGCAAUUUGUGAAAUUGGAGGCCCGUGUCUGCAAUUAGAAAUUCAGGUCAUAUUGCAAUUUUUAGAAUAGGGACCUAUCAUGCAAUAUUAAAGGACCUAAUUUUAAUUUUAAAUGGGUAAAGAUGUAAUUUUCAAUAAGGGGCUCUUAAAUUUGAACUUCUAAACUUUUGACCCUAAAAUUCUUUUUGACCAAAUUAAAACUUUAAUUGAUAAUUGACUCGAUUAAAAUAUAUUAACAUAAUUUAAUUGACGACUUUUGUAUUAUUUCAUUCAAAUGAUUAUGUAUUUAAAUAUUGUCAUUAUUUGUGCGUUUAAAUUUUAAUUUUUAUAUAUAUUGAAAUAUUGAAUUUUGUUGCCCGUUUUGUCUCCAAAUCACAUAUAAAUUUUACCGUUUAUCAAUUAAUGAUUAUGAUUUGUUACAUGAUUAUUAUUUUGUGAUUGAAUUUUUCUAUGGGCCUUGCGACGAUUCUUGUUUUCUCACCAAGAGAAAUAUUUUGAAAUAAAAAUGGGUGGUAGCUGCCAAAGUGGCACACUCAUUAUUAUUUAUUCGAUUCUCUCUAAAAUAAAAAAAAUAUACAUAUAUUUUUGCCCAACAACAUUUGAUUUAUUGCAUAUAAUAUCUUGCCCAAAGGUAUUAUUAUAUAUAAUAUUUUUGAAAAAUGGCAUGAGAAAGUUAACGAGCUUAUUUUAGUUUAAAAACUUCCUUCUGCCCAAAGGUGUUGGUGUUUCGAAAACAAGUGUAAUUUUGUUAACUGGCUGCAUGAUGUGUUUUAAGAGUACCUUAUAGCAUGUUGUAUUGUCGACCCAAAGGUGACUUUAUGAUGAUGCACCUAGGCUCUUACCGUAAUAAAAUUCAUAUGUUUCGAUUUAAAUUACGGAUUAAUUAUUAAUAGCCCAUAUUAAUUAGUUGGAUAUUUCAUCAUCCAUUUGAUUGCAUGCAUUAAGUUUGGAUGAUAUUAAGAGUGUGAUAUUUUAUGUUUCCACAGUUUAUAAUGCCUCCUCUCUUUCGAAUCAAUUGUCUGCUAUUGAAACAUUGACUGGGAAUAACUAUGUGAGAUGGAAACGAGACGUAGAAAUAGCACUUGAUUUUUUGGGCUUGGAUUUUGCAAUGGAGAAAAAGCUUGAAAAACGCACAGAUAAGAGUACCGUUGAAUAUGUAGCCGAGCAUGAAAAGUGGGAAAGGGCUAACAAACUCUGUUUGAAAAUCAUUAAGCGAUCGAUAUCUGAUUCCAUUCUAGGUGCCAUCCCUGAUAAUAAAAAUGCCAAAAGUUUUAUGGAUGCCAUAGGAGAAAAAUUUGUUGAGUCUGAUAAAGCCGAAACUGGGGAUUUGAUGGAUAAAUUUAUGAGCAUGAAAUAUGAUGGUACAAGUGGUGUUAGGGAACAUGUCAUGAAAAUGAUAAAUAUAUCAUAUAAGCUAAAGGCUCUUGAAAUUCCCAUUGCGGAGCCUUUCCUAGUCUAUCAUGUAUUGAAUAGCCUUCCUAGCAAGUUUAAUCGGCUUAAGGUUGCUUACAAUGCUCAACGGGAUAAGUGGAAUUUGAAUGAUCUCAUAGCAGUGUGUGCCCAAGAAGAGUAUAGGAUGCGCCGUGAAACUGUUGAAACUGUGCAAUUAGCUUUUCAGCCAUCACAGAAUAAGGGGCCUUUUCAUAAUCAUAAACCUAAGUUUCGUAAGGGUAAUAAGUCUCACCGAAAUCAACAGAAUAAAAAUUUUAGUGGUCCCAAAGGAGUUAUAAAGAAAAAUGAUCAAUGCAAGUUCUGUAAAAAGAAGGGUCACUGGCAGAAAGAUUGUUUUAAGUUCAAGACUUGGUUGGAAAAGAAGAAGAGUUCUCCAGGUAUUCCCUUGGCUUUAGUUUGUUUUGAGUCUUCUUUAGUAGAUGUACCUUUAAAUUCUUGGUGGUUAGACUCGGGAGCUAGUAUUCAUAUUGCAAAUUCCUUGCAGGGGUUCAUAAGCAAACGGAGGCCAAGUGAGAAUGAAGUAAGCUUGAGUGUUGCAAAUGGAUUUCAAGUGAAGGUUGAAUUCAUAGGAGUAGUGAAAUUAACUUUAGAGUCUGGUUUUUAUCUUAUUUUGGAAAAUACAGUUUAUGUACCGCAG